AGUGAACGCUGGCGGUAGGCCUAACACAUGCAAGUCGAACGGCAGCACAGUAAGAGCUUGCUCUUACGGGUGGCGAGUGGCGGACGGGUGAGGAAUACAUCGGAAUCUACUUUUUCGUGGGGGAUAACGUAGGGAAACUUACGCUAAUACCGCAUACGACCUACGGGUGAAAGCAGGGGAUCUUCGGACCUUGCGCGAUUGAAUGAGCCGAUGUCGGAUUAGCUAGUUGGCGGGGUAAAGGCCCACCAAGGCGACGAUCCGUAGCUGGUCUGAGAGGAUGAUCAGCCACACUGGAACUGAGACACGGUCCAGACUCCUACGGGAGGCAGCAGUGGGGAAUAUUGGACAAAGGGCGCAAGCCUGAUCCAGCCAUACCGCGUGGGUGAAGAAGGCCUUCGGGUUGUAAAGCCCUUUUGUUGGGAAAGAAAAGCAGCAGGUUAAUACCCCGCUGUUCUGACGGUACCCAAAGAAUAAGCACCUGCUAACUUCGUG
rnacentral:rRNA from 1 species